rnacentral:rRNA from 1 species
UACGGAGGGUGCGAGCGUUGUCCGGAAUCAUUGGGCGUAAAGGGCGCGUAGGUGGCGGGACAAGCGUGCGGUGAAACGGCUCGGGGCUCAACCCCGGCGUUCGGCCGUGCGAACUGUUUGCUUGAGCACUGUAGAGGCAGGCGGGAAUUCCGGGUGUAGCGGUGGAAUGCGCAGAUAUCAGGAAGAACACCCGUGGCUAAGGCGGCUCUCUAGUACGGUACUGACGCUGAGACGCGAAAGCGUGGGGAGCGAACAGG